rnacentral:rRNA from 1 species
CCUACGGGUGGCAGCAGUGAGGAAUAUUGGUCAAUGGACGAGAGUCUGAACCAGCCAAGUAGCGUGAAGGAUGACUGCCCUAUGGGUUGUAAACUUCUUUUAUAUGGGAAUAAAAUGUUCCACGUGUGGGAUUUUGUAUGUACCAUAUGAAUAAGGAUCGGCUAACUCCGUGCCAGCCGCCGAGGUAAUACGGUGGGUCCGAGCGUUAUCCGGAUUUAUUGGGUUUAAAGGAGCGUAGGUGGAUUGUUAAGUCAGUUGUGAAUGUUUGCGGCUCAACCGUAAAAGUGCAGUUGAAACUGGCAGUCUUGAGUACAGUAGAGGUGGGCGGAAUUCGUGGGGUAGCGGUGAAAUGCUUAGAUAUAACGAAGAACUCCGAUUGCGAAGGCAGUUCACUGGACUGCAACUGACACUGAGGCUCGAAAGUGUGGGUAUCAAACAGGAUUAGAUACCCCAGUAGUC